CUUCAUCUACAUUCUUACAGUUGGUGAGUCCUCAUGGUUCGAGGACCUAUGUCCCUGAUUUUUGCCUUGAUAGUAGAUGGUUGUUUCUUUUCAGUUCAGGUGAGUCAGUUGGGGAUCUGUCCUAAUGGCUCCUCAGUCUUUUGUAGUAGAGGCUUGUCAGACUAGAGUACCAGUAUGUACAGAACUUUCAGUAUUUUGUUUGUACAGGACAAUAUUUCUUCAUAUCACAGUAUUUUCAUGACAUGAUUAUUCUUUCGUAUUUAGCAUGAAUAGUGAUAUAGUGAAAUCUGAAAGUGAUGACAGGUUUAGAGGGUUAGCUUGAGGCCACGUGUGGCCUUAAGCACCGUGUGACAUCUCGGGAUAGAUUCUCGGGGCGUUACAAGCUUGGUAUCAGAGCCUAAGAUUUGAAGAGUCCUAGGGAGUCUGACGAGCCGCGUUAUGUAGAGCCUUGAUCAUCGGUGUGUAGUGCGCCACUUCUAUAAGCAAGAGGCUACGGGACGUUUUAGGAAAAGUUGUUUCUUUCUUUCAAAAGUCUAUCGUGCCUACAACUGUUUCUCUCUGCUAUUAAUUCGUGCUCUAUUAUGACAGAAAAUGCCUCCGCAUAGAGCUCGCAGAAACAAUGAACGACCUCAACCCAUUGAUCCUUUAGGUGAGAUGGUGUCCCACGCUGAAUUUCGGGCAAAUUUUCAAGCGCUAGCCCAGGCGGUUACCGCCAAUGCUCAGACCCAUGUUCAGGCCGCAGUUUUUCCUCCGCAGGAAGGUAAUUCUGCGGCAGCUCGGGUUCGUGAUUUUAUGCGGAUGAAUCUGCCAGAGUUUUAUGGGUCAAAGACAGGCGAGGACCCACAAAUGUAUCUUGAUGAGGUGAAAAAGAUCACCCAAAUUAUGCAUGUAACAGAGGAAGAAAGUGUGGAGCUAGCUUCCUAUCACUUUAAAGAUGUUGCUUAUGAUUGAGUGGAGAUGUGGAGGAGGAUAGAGGGGAGGAUGCCGCUCCCUUGACUUGGCAGUUUUUCCAGGAUGUGUUCUUAGACAAAUUCUUUCCCCCGGAGCUGAGGGAAGCGAAAUUAGAAGAAUUUAUGAACCUGAGACAGGGCCCCAUGACAGUUAAGGAGUAUUGUCAUAAGUUCAACCAGUUAUCUAAGUAUGCUCCCGGUAUGAUAGCUGAUUCUAGAACUAGUAUGAGUAAGUUUUUGGCUGGUGUAUUUGGUUAUAUUAUGAAAUAGUGUAGAUCCGCUAUGCUUAAUAGGGACAUGGACCUUUCAAGACUAUGAUCCAUGCUCAGUAGAUUGAAGCGGACAAGGUGAAGGAGAGAGAUAGAGUAAGGGCAAAUAAGAGAGUUAGAUCAGAGCAGCAGGGGUAUGGUCUGACUAGAUUUUCUGGAGAGAAUCGCCCUCAGUCCCAGAACCGUUCACUUCUGCUAGCGCCUUCAUCAGCCAGUGCUCCCGCAUUUAGAAUUAGGCAGGAGUAGGGUAAUAGACCUACUAUGUCUGGGUCCCAGGAUAGUGUGAGUAAUAGACCUCGUCCUCCUCUAUGUCCGAAGUGCGGUAGAGACCAUCCUGGUGAGUGCUUAGUCGAUCAGAGGGGUUGUUUUGGUUACGGUAAGUUGGGCCACAGAUUUAGGGAUUGCCCAUAUGCUAGAUAGGGGAGUCGUGAUGUUCGUCCCCAGAGUCAGGCUAUUAGUGCUCCAGCCCCUUUAGCUCGUCCUUCUCCUCAGGUUGCCCCGUCUAGUACUGCAAGUGGUCAAAGCCAGAAUCGCAUUUAUGCUAUACCACCUCGCCAGGAGCAGGAGGAUUCACCAGAUGUUGUUACUGGUAUGCUCCGUUUAUUUUAUUUCAUUAUGUAUGUGUUGAUGGACCCUGGGUCAAGUCUUUCUUAUGUGACUCCGUUGGUGGCUGUGAAUUUUGAAAUCAGUGCUGAAAAUACUCCUAAGCCUCUUCUAGUUUCUACCCCAAUAGGUGAAUCUGUUGUUGCUAAACAAGUGUAUAAGAAGUGUCCUAUCACUUUCCUUCAUAGAAUCAUGUUUGCAUACUUGAUCGAGCUAGACAUGUUGAUUUUGACAUUAUUCUGGGUAUGGAUUGACUUCACUCUUGUUAUGCGUCUAUAGAUUGUCGUACCCGUGUAGUCAAGUUUUAGUUUCCCAACGAACCAGUUUUUGGGUGGUUUGAAAGUUCUGUAGUUCCCAAGAGUCAUUUUAUAUCCUACCUUAAGGCCAGGAAAUUGAUAUCUAAGGGGUGUAUCUAUCAUUUGGUUCGAGUUAAAGACACUAAGUCCGAGACUCCGUCUAUUCAGUCUAUUAGUAUUGUCAAUGAGUUUCUUGAUGUUUUCCCGGAAGAUCUCCCAGGGGUACCUCCCGAUAGAGAGAUAGAAUUCGAGAUUGAUCUUCUUUCUGAUACACAGCCUAUUUCUAUUCCUCCAUAUCGUAUAGCCCUCGCAGAACUUAAGGAGUUGAAGGAGCAACUCAAAGAUCUUCUUGAUAAGGGUUUUAUAAGGCUCAGAGUGCCUCCUUGGGGCGCACCCGUUCUAUUCGUACGAAAGAAAGAUGGUUCAUUGCAUAUGUGCAUUGACUAUCGUCAGCUCAACAAGGUCACAGUCAAGAACAAGUACCCUCUUCCUAAGAUUGAUGACCUAUUUGAUCAGCUGCAAGGUGCCAGUUAUUUUUCAAAAAUAGAUUUGAGAUCCGGUUAUCACCAACUUAAAGUCAGAGAGUGUGAUAUUCCAAAGAAAGCUUUUUGCACCCGUUAUGGUCAUUUUGAAUUCCUAGUCAUGUCCUUCGGGCUAACUAAUGCCCCAACAACUUUUAUGGACCUUAUGAAUCGGGUGUUCAAACAGUACCUAGAUAUGUUUGUUAUUGUGUUCAUAGAUGAUAUCCUUGUAUACUCCUGAAAUGGAAAUGACCAUGCAGAUCAUCUCCGAAUUGUCUUGCAGACCCUUAGAGAUCAUCAGUUGUUUCCCAAAUUUAGCAAAUGUGCAUUUUGGUUAAGGUCAGUUGCCUUUCUGGGUCAUAUUGUUUCUUCUGAAGGUAUUCGAGUUGAUCCUCAAAAGGUAGAAGCUGUAAAAAAUUGGUCUAGACCUAUUUCCCCGCCUAACAUUAGGAGUUUCUUGGGUCUAGAUGGUUACUAUCAUCGUUUUGUUGAGGGUUUCUCCUCCAUUGCUGCUCCUUUGACCCGGUUAACCCAAAAGAAAGUUAAAUUCCAGGGGUCAGAUUCUUGCGAGAAGAGUUUUCAGGAGUUGAAGACUCGACUCACUUCAGCCCCUGUGAUGACCCUGCCUAAUGGUGUAGAUGAUUUUGUGGUGUAUUGUGAUGCCUCGAGAGUUGGUUUGGGUUGCGUGUUGAUGCAGAAGGGUAAGGUUAUAGCCUAUGCAUCUAGAUAGUUGAAACCUCAUGAGAAGAAUUACCCGACCCAUGAUCUUGAGCUAGCUACAGUAGUUUUUGCCUUAAAAAUCUGGAGACAUUACUUGUACGGUGUUCAUGUUGAUGUCUUUACGGAUCACAAGAGUUUCCAAUAUGUGUUCACUCAGAGAGAGUUGAACCUGCGGUAGAGACGAUGGUUAGAAUUGCUGAAGGACUGUGAUAUGAGCAUGUUGUAUCACCCGGGGAAGGCCAAUGUUGUGGCGGAUGCCCUUAGUAGGUCGUCCAUGGGUAGUGUGACGCAUGUAGAGAACGAUAAAAAAAGAAUUGGUUCGCGAAGCGCAUCGUUUGGCUAGGUUGGGUGUUAGACUGCAGAGGGUAAUGUUUGGGUUCAAAGUAAUUCUGAAUGUUCUCUAGUUUCGGAAGUGAAGGAGAAGCAGGAUAUGGAUUCUUGUUUGGUUGAACUGAAAGGGUCAGUUAAAGACCAAAAGGUGGGGGUUUUCUCCUAAGGGGGAGAUGGUGUAUUGAGGCUUCAGAAUAGAUUGUGUGUGCCUGAUGUUGAUGAUGGUAUUCUAUUCAUUCUGGUGCUACCAAGAUGUACCGCAAUUUGCGGGAAAUUUAUUGGUGGAAUGGUAUGAAGAAGGAUAUAGCAAACUUCGUAAAGAAGUGUGCAGCUUGCCAACAGGUGAAGAUAGAGCACCAGAGACCCGGUGGAAUGAUGCAAGAAUUUGGCAUUCUUACUUGGAAGUGGGAGGAAGUGAAUAUGGAUUUCGUGACCGGUUUACCUCUCUUUCGUCGUCAUCAUGAUUCUAUAUGGGUCGUUGUGGAUAGGUUGACUAAGUCAGCAUAUUUCCUGCCAAUACAUACAUCUUUCACCGCUGAGGACUAUGCUAAGCUGUACAUCCGAGAGUUAGUCAGGUUGCAUGGAGUUCCGUUGUCUAUCAUCUUCGAUAGAGGUGCUCAAUUUACUUCUCAGUUUUGGAGAGCCUUUCAGAAGGAUCUUGGCACCCAAGUUCAUCUUAGCUUCGCUUUUUAUCCGCAAACAGACGGUCAAGCUGAGAGGACUAUCCAGACUUUGGAGGAUAUGUUGAGGGCAUGUGUUCUUGAUUUCAAAGGAAGUUGGGAUGAACAUUUGCCAUUGAUUGAAUUUGCAUUUAGCAACAGUUUUCAUGCUAGCAUUGGAAUGGCUCCAUUUGAGGCUUUGUAUGGAAGGAGGUAUAGAUCACCCAUAGGUUGGUUCGAAGUGGGUGAGGCUGCUGUGAUUGGACCUGAUGCUGUGUUCUAGGCCAUUGAGAAAGUUAAGUUGAUUCGGGAAAGGUUGAAGAUAGCCCAGAGUCGUCAGAAGUCGUAUGCAAAUGUGAGAAGAAGAGCUCUUGAGUUUGAGGUUGAUGAUUUGGUGUACUUGAAGAUUUCACCCAUGAAAGGAGUGAAAAGAUUUGGAAAGAAAGGGAAGCUUAGUCCCCGAUAUGUUGGCCCUUAUAGAGUUUUGAAUCGUGUUGGGAAAGCACUAAUGAGAUUGAGUUGCCUGCAGAGUUGUCAGCUGUCCACCCUGUCUUUCAUGUUUCUAUGCUCAAGAAGCACAUUGGUGAUUCUGUUGUGGUUGAACCAUCAAAGAACUUAGAUGUUCGAGAUAGUCUUUCUUAUGAUGAAGUUCCGGUCGAAAUCCUAGAUUAUCAAGUUCGUAGACUAAGGAACAAGGAAGUUCCCUUGGUUAAAGUUUUGUGGCGAAAUCAAUCAAUAGAGGGUGCAACUGGGGAAGCAGAAGCAGAAAUGCGAGUUAAGUAUCCUCAUCUCUUCUCCGCGAGUUCAAAUCAAGCCAAAGGUAUCAUUCUUCCUUAAUUCAGUUUCCUUCUAAUCCAGUGUAUUCAGUUGUAUAGAUAUCUAUUCUAUGAUUCGUGCAUUCUAUGAAGUACUAAAAAAUCUAGAGUGAAGUAAGUCGGUUGAGCAAAUGGUUACCAUAAAGUAUUUCCAGUUUCCUCUUUGUUCUUGAGCUUAACUAGCAACAUUCGAGGACGAAUGUUUCCAAGGGGGAGAUAUUGUAAUACCAUGAUCGUUUCUUAAGCCUAAAUCCGCCUUUUGAGUGAAUAUGAAUGACUUCCAAAGUGAUUGAUGUUUAUACCAUGUUGUAUUUUUCUAAUUUCUAAUUUUUACCAUGUAGAGCAUUGAAUAAGCUUUCCAUCGAUACCAAAUUCGCCCAAAUCCGACACUCGGGUGAAGAGUUAGAGCCAUUUUAGCGAAAUAGUGUGCCACCUGGCACUUUAGCGCAUCGCGGAGCCAGCGAAAAUGGCAAUUGUCAUUUUCCAGUGAGCCUCCGCGAUAUUGACGCGUCGCGCCAAGGCUCAAUUUUAGGAUUGUCAAAUUCCAGUGCACCAACCUGAUUCCACCGCGUCGCGGUGCCCUUCCAGGUCAUGACCAAGGUGGCAAAUGCGACUUCAUCGCGUCGUGCCUCUGAAUAGUUUCCCAAUUGUCCAAUUCCAGUGAAGGAGAUGCGCCAGGGCAAAAAAUCGGGCUCCAGUUCUAGAAUUUGCUCAAGGGUAUUUUGGUCUUUUCCACCCAUCCUUACCCUUUAUAUAUAUACAAGUGAGGGAGCCUCAUUUCCUCUUUCAUCUUCUCCAAAAUUCUAGGGUUUCUCUCCAAAAUUCAAUCCAAUUCUUGUCUAAAUAUCUCAACAUCAAGCCAUGGUUUUCACAAAUUAGUUCAAGAUUUAAAACUUUCAAGUCAAGAACAUUAAGAUCUCUAACUCAAUAAGUGGGAAAAGAAGUCUAUAGCAAGUUUAUUCAUCCCGGAUAAUAAUAAAGGUAUGUGGGGCUUGAACAAGAAUAUCCUUUCAUUCUUGUGCCCAAAGAAUUGAGUUUUACUAUUGGAAUUNNNNNNNNNNNNNNNNNNNNNNNNNNNNNNNNNCCUUCAAGUGGUUCAAGAUUUAAGAUAUCUAAGUCAAGGCAUCAAGAAAUUUAGCUCAAAAGUGCGAGAAAGAAGUUCCAAUCGAGUUUCUUCAUCUCAAAAUCAUAAUCAAGGUAUGUGGGGCUUGAACAAGAAUAUCCUUUCAUUCUUGUGCCCAAAGAUUUGAUUUUUACUAUUGGAAUGUCAUGAUCUUUGCAAGUGGGUUUACACCCAAACAACUUUAUUAAUGAUUUACGAGAUUUGAGUUGAUUAAGUUUGAUAUUUAUGAUUAUUUUACCAUCACAUUUCUUAAAUUGAGAAAUUUAUGCCAUGAGAUAUAUAUUGAUAUUAUGAAAUGAUGAUUUCUAAAGUAAUUUAAGAUAAGCGUCAUGAUUUAUGCUUUUCCAUGAGGAGUUUGAUUAUUGAAUAUAUAUAUUGGAUUUGAGCUUGAGAGUCAAGAAUGAGUUGUAUGAUGUCUUCUCAAAGUUUUGACAUUUGAUAUGAUUUAAUGAGAAAGUGUACUUGAUGAUGAGAAAGAUUAUUUUGAGAUUGAGUCGAGUUAGGAAUCCACAAGUUGAUUAUGAUUCACAGAUGAGAUAUAUUUAUGAUUUUGGUCUCUAUGAUAGACCCUUGAGUUGAUUGAGGUGGAUGUCCUAACGUGUUCUGAGCUGAGUCCAGGAGGAGUAUUUAGCACCGAGCGGGAAGUGUGGGUUCAGCGCAUCCUACUUCCCCAGAACUUCGUGCCACCGUAGGAUUGAGAUUUGAGGGACAAAGUGCCGAGUUUGUGAUCACAGAGAUGAGUUUGAGGUUAUACUCCCUGGCAAGAGUAUAACGCUCCCGUCAAUGUGGGGUUCCUUCCUUAGGAGGGCAAAAUGUUGGAAUCCAUGUGGCUCACAUGGUUUAUGUCGGUUAUAAGAAACUUUCAAGUCCAUAAUAGUCUAAGUUUCUUGAGUUACCGAGUCACUCCAAGUCAUGAGUCAAAGAGUUUGGGUUGAGUCCAAUGAUUUAUGAGAUUUAUGAAGAAUGUGUUACUGUUGAUGAUUUAUGAGAAACUAUAUUACAGUUUAAUUCAAGCGAAGAGAGUCAUUAUUGUCAGCAUGCAUGAUUUUGUUUUACACUUAUGAUAUUAUUUAAAAAUGUUGCAUAGACCCCCACAUACUCAGUACAAUCCCAAGUACUGAUUCUCAUUUCUAUGUUUUAUAUUUUCUCGUGAUGUAGUGCUCAGUCUCAGCAGUGACAGUGAUCUUUGAGUACCUUCAUCUACAUUCUUACAGUUGGUGAGUCUUCAUGGUUUGAGGACCUAUGUCACUGAUUUUUUCCUUGAUAGUAGCUGGUUGUUUCUUUUCAGUUCAGGUGAUUCAGUUGGGGAUCUGUCCUAAUGGAUCCUAAGUCUUUUGUAGUAGAAGCCUUGUUAGACUAGAGUACCAGUAUGUACAGAACUUUCAGUAUUUUGUUUGUACAGGACAGUAUUUCUUCAUAUCACAGUAUGUUC
rnacentral:lncRNA from 1 species